GGCAAAUAAGAAAAAUACUACGCGUGGGUGAAGAAGAAGCACCCAACAAAAAAAAUAUCAAUGGAUACAACGAGGUUCUGGUGGAUUUCUAUGGCCGUAUAAGGGGAUUUUAAAUAAGGGAUCAUGUUGGCUGCCUUGGGCCUAUAUAAAAAAACUUGAUGGCCGAUUCUGAAAGAUGGCGGAUCGAAGCAGAAUGAAAUGGU